GCUCCUUUAGCUCAGUUGGUAGAGCGUCAGUCUCAUAGACUUAUACUUCAAGUUAUCUGAAGGUCGAGAGUUCGAACCUCCCAGGGAGCA
rnacentral:tRNA from 1 species